rnacentral:rRNA from 1 species
AACGAACGCUGGCGGCAGGCCUAACACAUGCAAGUCGAGCGCGCCCUUCGGGGUGAGCGGCGGACGGGUGAGUAACGCGUGGGAACGUGCCCUUUUCUACGGAAUAGCCUCGGGAAACUGAGAGUAAUACCGUAUACGCCCUUUGGGGGAAAGAUUUAUCGGAAAAGGAUCGGCCCGCGUUGGAUUAGGUAGUUGGUGGGGUAAUGGCCUACCAAGCCGACGAUCCAUAGCUGGUUUGAGAGGAUGAUCAGCCACACUGGGACUGAGACACGGCCCAGACUCCUACGGGAGGCAGCAGUGGGGAAUCUUAGACAAUGGGGGCAAACCUGAUCGAGCCAUGCCGCGUGAGUGAUGAAGGCCUUAGGGUUGUAAAGCUCUUUCAGCUGGGAAGAUAAUGACGGUACCAGCAGAAGAAGCCCCGGCUAACUCCGUG